CCAGAUCUCUAUCGUUUCUUACGGUAAAGAAAAACCUGCAGUACUGGGUCACGACGAAUCAGCUUAUGCUAAAAACCGUCGUGCAGUACUGGUUUACUAAGAGAAUCACAUGAUUAGUAGCUUCAGAACUCACCUGUUG
rfam:Bacteria symbiont BFo1 of Frankliniella occidentalis strain BFo1 contig162, whole genome shotgun sequence.